UACGUAGGGGGCUAGCGUUGUCCGGAAUCAUUGGGCGUAAAGAGCGUGUAGGCUGCUCGGUAAGUCCGCUGUAAAAGUCAAAGGCUCAACCUUUGAAUGUCAGUGGAUACUGCCGGGCUAGAGGGUGGUAGAGGCGAGUGGAAUUCCCGGUGUAGCGGUGAAAUGCGCAGAUAUCGGGAGGAACACCAGUAGCGAAGGCGGCUCGCUGGGCCAUUCCUGACGCUGAGACGCGAAAGCUAGGGGAGCGAACAGG
rnacentral:rRNA from 1 species